ensembl:snRNA U6 U6 spliceosomal RNA
GUACUGGCUUUGGCAGCACAUGUACUAAAUUCUGAACAACUCAGAGAUUAGCACAGCCUUUGUGCAAGGAUGACACACAAAUUCAUGAAGUAUUCCAUAUUAUU